rnacentral:rRNA from 1 species
GUUUCAGCAGCCGCGGUAAUACGUAGGGGGCUAGCGUUGUCCGGAUUUAUUGGGCGUAAAGAGCGUGUAGGCGGCCAGAUAGGUCUGCUGUGAAAACUCGAGGCUCAACCUCGAGCUGUCGGCAGAAACCAUCUGGCUAGAGUCCGGAAGAGGAGAGUGGAAUUCCCGGUGUAGCGGUGAAAUGCGCAGAUAUCGGGAAGAACACCUGUGGCGAAGGCGGCUCUCUGGGACGGUACUGACGCUGAGACGCGAAAGCGUGGGGAGCAAACAGGAUUAGAUACCCGGGUAGUCC